AGUGAACGCUGGCGGUAUGCUUAACACAUGCAAGUCGAACGGCAGCACAGUAAGAGCUUGCUCUUACGGGUGGCGAGUGGCGGACGUGUGAGGAAUACAUCGUAAUCUACUUUUUCGUGUGGGAUAACGUAGGGAAACUUACGCUAAUACCGCAUCCGCCCUUCGGGUGAAAGCAGUGGAUCUUCUGACCUUGCGCGAUUGAAUGCGCCGAUGACGGAUUUGCUAGUUGGCGGGGUAAAGGCCCACCAAGGCGGCGAUCCGUAGCCGGUGUGAGAGAAUGGUAAGCCACACGAGAGCUGAGACACGGUCCAGGCGCCUACGGGAGGGCGCAGUGGGGAAUAUUAGACAAUAGGGGGAAGCCUGGUCCAACCAGACCGCGUGGGAGAAGAAGGCCUUCGGGUUGGAAAGCCCUUUUGUUGGGAAAGAAAAGCAGCAGGUUGAUACCCAGCUGUUCUGACGGUACCGGAAGAAUAAGCACCGGCUAACUUCGUG
rnacentral:rRNA from 1 species